ACUAAUGAGAGUAGCUGUGUUACCUGCAACAAAACACAUUUUGUUUUAGUGGUUUACACAACUGUAUUAAUAUCUUAUUUCAUCAGGUCAGAAACAUGAACAUCUGGAUUAGUUUUGCCCUCAGUGGUAAGUGUGUAUAUAAAAUGUUCUGGUACAUUUUAAAAUGGCUGGUCUGCAGCAAUCUCAAGGAUACUGUAUUUAAUAAAUUAUUGAACAGGAAAGUGCAAAACUAACAUUUUGAACAGGAGUUUUCGCUGCUCCAUUCAUGAAGGAAGAGGAAGCAAAGCGAUUCAUCAGACUGACGAGACAAAUCGGGAUACUGGGAUCCCAACCACUCUAAGAACCAGUGUGGUUACACUAUUGAAAAAAGGUGCCACAUCUAUCGGUGUAUUUUAUGUAUGGAUUUAGAAUUUUGUAUUGAUUUUGACAAGUCCAGGCUUUCUACCUGUGUAAAUGUAUGCGUUUGUUUGCAUGCACAUGAUAUUAUUACUCUCUCUACCCAAGGCCAAUGAGUACUGGACAGCUCUCCGAACAGAUGCUCAGUAUUACAUGGAUAUGGGACACCUGAUGUUCGACCGCUCUGUGGCUAUGCAGACGGUGACAGAUGGUCAGUAGAGGAACUGUGGAGAUGCUCAACAGCCACAGUAUCAUGGAUAAAAAUCAUCAACAUCUCAGUGGGGGUGGACGACUACAAUCCCUUAGCUAAAUGUGCUUUCUCUACAGUGCUGUCAUUGAUGUAAGAGUGUGAUUGCAUGAUGUAUUAUCCUUAUUCUGUCCAAAUAAACAUUUAAAAAAGGAAAAUGCAUAUUACAUUUUUGCACGUGCAUGAUUCGUUUUUUGCAUGGACAUGUUUCAUAUAACAUGGGCUACUGUAACUUUGUGAAAUGCAUGUAAGAAUAUAAACUAUUGUAUACGAAUAAUAAACAGAGUUGAGGUGUAAAGUCUACUUGCUAGACAUGCAGUGCCUUCAGGAAGUCUUCACACC